GAUGAACGCUGACAGAAUGCUUAACACAUGCAAGUCAACUUGAACUUCGGUUUGGGUGGCGGACGGGUGAGUAACGCGUAAAGAACUUGCCUCACAGAUAGGGACAACAUUUGGAAACGAAUGCUAAUACCUGAUAUUAUGAUUUUAGGGCAUCCUAGGAUUAUGAAAGCUAUAUGCGCUGUGAGAGAGCUUUGCGUCCCAUUAGCUAGUUGGAGAGGUAACGGCUCACCAAGGCGAUGAUGGGUAGCCGGCCUGAGAGGGUGAUCGGCCACAAGGGGACUGAGACACGGCCCUUACUCCUACGGGAGGCAGCAGUGGGGAAUAUCGGACAAUGGACCAAGAGUCUGAUCCAGCAAUUCUGUGUGCACGAUGAAGUUUUUCGGAAUGUAAAGUGCUUUCAGUUGGGAAGAAAAAAAUGACGGUACCAACAGAAGAAGUGACGGCUAAAUACGUG
rnacentral:rRNA from 1 species